UGGGGAAUCUUGGGCAAUGGGCGAAAGCCUGACCCAGCGACGCCGCGUGGGGGAUGACGGCCUUUGGGUUGUAAACCCCAGUCAGGGGGGACGAAAGCCUUCCGGUGAAUAGCCGGAAGGGUUGACGGUACCCCCAAAGGAAGCCCCGGCUAACUCCGUGCCAGCAGCCGCGGUAAUACGGAGGGGGCAAGCGUUAUUCGGAAUUACUGGGCGUAAAGCGCGCGCAGGUGGUGCAGCAAGUGGCAGGUGGAAGCCCUGGGCUCAACCCAGGAACUGCCUGCCAAACUGCUGCGCUGGAGGCCGGGAGGGGAGAGCGGAAUUCCUGGUGUAGCGGUGAAAUGCGUAGAUACCAGGAGGAACACCGGUGGCGAAGGCGGCUCUCUGGACCGGUUCUGACACUCAUGCGCGAAAGCGUGGGGGAGCAAACAGGAUUAGAUACCCUGGUAGUCCACGCCCUAAACGAUGGGCACUAGGCGUCGCGGGUGUCGACCCCUGCGGUGCCGUAGCUAACGCGUUAAGUG
rnacentral:rRNA from 1 species